UGGGGAAUAUUGCACAAUGGGCGAAAGCCUGAUGCAGCGACGCCGCGUGAGGGAUGACGGCCUUCGGGUUGUAAACCUCUUUCAGCAGGGACGAAGCGCAAGUGACGGUACCUGCAGAAGAAGCACCGGCUAACUACGUGCCAGCAGCCGCGGUAAUACGUAGGGUGCAAGCGUUGUCCGGAAUUACUGGGCGUAAAGAGUUGGUAGGCGGUUUGUCGCGUCGUGUGUGAAAGCCAGCAGCUCAACUGCUGGCUUGCAGGCGAUACGGGCAGACUUGAGUACUGCAGGGGCGACUGGAAUUCCUGGUGUAGCGGUGAAAUGCGCAGAUAUCAGGAGGAACACCGGUGGCGAAGGCGGGUCUCUGGGCAGUAACUGACGCUGAGGAACGAAAGCGUGGGUAGCGAACAGG
rnacentral:rRNA from 1 species